GUGGGGAAUAUUGGACAAUGGGCGAAAGCCUGAUCCAGCCAUGUCGCGUGUGUGAAGAAGGUCUUCGGAUUGUAAAGCACUUUAAGUUGGGAGGAAGGGCAGUAAGUUAAUACCUUGCUGUUUUGACGUUACCGACAGAAUAAGCACCGGCUAACUUCGUGCCAGCAGCCGCGGUAAUACGAAGGGUGCAAGCGUUAAUCGGAAUUACUGGGCGUAAAGCGCGCGUAGGUGGUUUUGUAAGUUGGAGGUGAAAUCCCCGGGCUCAACCUGGGAACUGCCUCCAAAACUGCAUGACUAGAGUAUGGUAGAGGGUAGUGGAAUUUCCUGUGUAGCGGUGAAAUGCGUAGAUAUAGGAAGGAACACCAGUGGCGAAGGCGACUACCUGGACUGAUACUGACACUGAGGUGCGAAAGCGUGGGGAGCAAACAGGAUUAGAUACCCCGGUAGUCC
rnacentral:rRNA from 1 species